AUGACUAGGGAUAACCUUAGGAAGAGACACAUCAUCAAACCCCUUGAUUGUGUUUACUGCUUGGAACAAGAGUCUUGUUCUCACCUAUUUUUUGAAUGUAUAGUUGCUAAACAUCUCUGGGCCCACAUUGAGGAAUAUUUCUCUAGUCAGAUUGGCUCAUCCUUCGAAUCCGUCGCCAGAUUCUGGAUUGCUACCAAAAAGUGCUCAGUUUUAAACACUGUUAGCUCAGCUGUCCUUUGGUGCCUCUGGAAAUAUAGAAAUGCUAUGAUUUUCAGUAACACCUCCUGGAUUUCCAUUCCGCGGGUCUUGAGGUUGAUUAGGAACAUGGUGAGGAACUAGGCGAUUCUCUCCUCCGGAUCGGACAAGGACAAGUUGAUGAGCUUCGUGGAAACCCUAACAAGAUCCCUCCAGAAACCGUUGGCGCUCACUUGUGGCUGA
rnacentral:rRNA from 1 species